GCCCCCUUCAGGACACUCUGCCUCCAGGGAGCUGUCCUGACAAUUUCAAGCCCCAGUAAUCACUGUCUUCUGAAACUCCACUGCAACUGCUGUCUGAACGCAGGAAUCGACCUCUAAAUAUACACUGCCCCGGAAGGAACCUGUGAAGGCAAAGCUGCCUAGAGCCCCAGAAGCCAUGUUGGCCUCCUCUGCAUUGGACCUGAGACAUCUCUGCCGUCUUGAGUCUUCCACCCACCCGCUAUGUUCCUAGGCCUAAAGAAUUCAGUUGUGUCCUGCUGUCUUACCUGCCCCGGUUCCCAGGAGGCUAGAAGAGCACUUACUUGGAAGGCACUCAAUGCUUAUGCAUUUGUUAAAGGAGUAAAUGAUUUCAUCUGGUUGCUUGCUACUGGUCUCCUGGAAUACACUUUUCCUUUUCUGUGUUUUGGAAGAGUUUGAGAAGCUUUGGGGUUAAUCCCCAUACAAGAGGAAUUGGAGUGACCCACCUGCUGAGUUUGGAAAGAAGAACUGGAUAUAAGCAGCCUUCCUUUCUCUCUCUUGCGUUUGUGAGCAAACUGCUUUCAGGUGGGACGUGCAAGUCUUCUCAGCUUUUAAUGGCCUAACUUUCAACAGGAAACCUGUCGCUGGAUGAAUAAGUCUGCCUCAGCCUGGAGUCAGUGUUAGAACAAGUACUUCCUUGUAGUACAAAUCAUCCUUUUAAUUUCAGCUUUUAUCUAUGACGAAGUUAAUAUUUUUUUAAUUUUGUUCACUUUAAAUCCAAAGCUUGGUCUGGGAAGAAAGAUUUUAUAAAUCGUCAAGUCCUCUUGGACUUGAAGAACACUGAAAACAGAAAGUUCUGAUUAUGUCUCCCUGGAAGUGGAGUAGACAUAGUGAGAAGUGCCUAAAACUUACC